rnacentral:rRNA from 1 species
ACCGUGGUAUUCUAGAGCUAAUACAUGCUAAAAACCUCAACUUCGGAAGGGGUGUAUUUAUUAGAUAAAAAACCAGCGCCCUUCGGGGCUCCUUGGUGAUUCAUAAUAACUAAACGAAUCGCAUGGCCUUGCGCCGGCGAUGGUUCAUUCAAAUUUCUGCCCUAUCAACUUUCGAUGGUAGGAUAGUGGCCUACCAUGGUAUCAACGGGUAACGGGGAAUUAGGGUUCUAUUCCGGAGAGGGAGCCUGAGAAACGGCUACCACAUCCAAGGAAGGCAGCAGGCGCGCAAAUUACCCAAUCCCGACACGGGGAGGUAGUGACAAUAAAUACUGAUACAGGGCUCUUUCGGGUCUUGUAAUUGGAAUGAGUACAAUUUAAAUCCCUUAACGAGGAACAAUUGGAGGGCAAGUCUGGUGCCAGCAGCCGCGGUAAUUCCAGCUCCAAUAGCGUAUAUUAAAGUUGUUGCAGUUAAAAAGCUCGUAGUUGAACCUUGGGCCUGGCUGGCCGGUCCGCCUCACCGCGUGUACUGGUCCGGCCGGGCCUUUCCUUCUGGGGAGCCGCAUGCCCUUCACUGGGCGUGUCGGGGAACCAGGACUUUUACUUUGAAAAAAUUAGAGUGUUCAAAGCAGGCCUUUGCUCGAAUACAUUAGCAUGGAAUAAUAGAAUAGGACGUGCGGUUCUAUUUUGUUGGUUUCUAGGACCGCCGUAAUGAUUAAUAGGGAUAGUCGGGGGCAUCAGUAUUCAAUUGUCAGAGGUGAAAUUCUUGGAUUUAUUGAAGACUAACUACUGCGAAAGCAUUUGCCAAGGAUGUUUUCAUUAAUCAGUGAACGAAAGUUAGGGGAUCGAAGACGAUCAGAUACCGUCGUAGU